AGCCCACGAUGUGGACACUUCCUAUACAAUUCUUUAAACCUCUCCUAGGCUUCAUACAAAGAUUCAGAAUCAAACUGAACAAAAUUGGUAAUAUUAUUUCUAAGUUU